GAAAGAACGUAGCGAAAUGCGAUACGUAAUGUGAAUUGCAGAAUUCAGUGAAUCAUCGAGUCUUUGAACGCACAUUGCGCCCUCUGGUAUUCCGGAGGGCAUGCCUGUCCGAGCGUCAUUGCUGCCCUCAAGCACGGCUUGUGUGUUGGGCUCCGUCCCCCGAUCCCGGGGGACGGGCCCGAAAGGCAGCGGCGGCACCGCGUCCGGUCCUCGAGCGUAUGGGGCUUUGUCACCCGCUCUGUAGGCCCGGCCGGCGCUUGCCGAUCAACCAAAUUUUUAUCCAGGUUGACCUCGGAUCAGGUAGGGAUACCCGCUGAACUUAAGCAUAUCAAUAAGCGGAGGA
rnacentral:misc_RNA from 1 species